rnacentral:rRNA from 1 species
GACGAACGCUGGCGGCGUGCUUAACACAUGCAAGUCGAACGGAAAGGCCCUGCUUUUGUGGGGUGCUCGAGUGGCGAACGGGUGAGUAACACGUGAGUAACCUGCCCUUGACUUUGGGAUAACUUCAGGAAACUGGGGCUAAUACCGGAUAGGAGCUCCUGCUGCAUGGUGGGGGUUGGAAAGUUUCGGCGGUUGGGGAUGGACUCGCGGCUUAUCAGCUUGUUGGUGGGGUAGUGGCUUACCAAGGCUUUGACGGGUAGCCGGCCUGGGCGGGUGACCGGGCACAAUGGGACUGGGGUACGGCCCAGACUCCUACGGGAGGCAGCAGUGGGGAAUAUUGCACAAUGGGCGGAAGCCUGAUGCAGCAACGCCGCGUGCGGGAUGACGGCCUUCGGGUUGUAAACCGCUUUCGCCUGUGACGAAGCGUGAGUGACGGUAAUGGGUAAAGAAGCACCGGCUAACUACGUG